rnacentral:rRNA from 1 species
CCCCACACAACAUACGACAUUGAGGGGGGGGGCUGAGAAACGGCUACCACAUCCAAGGAAGGCAGCAGGCGCGCAAAUUACCCACUCCCGGCACGGGGAGGUAGUGACGAAAAAUAACGAUACGGGACUCAUCCGAGGCCCCGUAAUCGGAAUGAGUACACUCUAAAGACUUUAACGAGUAUCCAUUGGAGGGCAAGUCUGGUGCCAGCAGCCGCGGUAAUUCCAGCUCCAAUAGCGUAUAUUAAAGCUGUUGCGGUUAAAAAGCUCGUAGUCGGACUUGUGUCCCACGCUGCCGGUUCACCGCCCGUCGGUGUUUAACUGGCACGCACGUGCGGACGUCCUGCCGGUGGCCCGAGCCGGCGCUCGCGGGUGAGGGGGCGGUAACGUCUCACACCCCGGGUCGUCUCGGGGAGGGCCUACACAAUCCCGUCGCGGUGCUCUUGACCGAGUGUCUCGAUGGGCCGGCACGUUUACUUUGAACAAAUUAGAGUGCUUAAAGCAGGCAGCAGCCGCCUGAAUACCGAGUGCAUGGAAUAAUAGAAUAGGACCUCGGUUCUAUUUUGUUGGUUUUCGGAAUCCCCGAGGUAAUGAUCAAAAGGGACAGACGG